rnacentral:rRNA from 1 species
UACAGAGGUCUCAAGCGUUGUUCGGAUUCAUUGGGCGUAAAGGGUGCGUAGGCGGCGCGGUAAGUCGGGUGUGAAAUCUUGGAGCUUAACUCCGAAACUGCAUUCGAUACUGCCGUGCUUGAGGACUGGAGAGGAGACUGGAAUUUACGGUGUAGCGGUGAAAUGCGUAGAUAUCGUAAGGAAGACCAGUGGCGAAGGCGGGUCUCUGGACAGUUCCUGACGCUGAGGCACGAAGGCCCAGGGGAGCAAACGGGG